CAGUCGCCGCGGGAAUACAGAGGGUGCGAGCGUUAAUAGGAUUUACUGGGCGUAAAGCGUGCGUAGGCGGCUUCUUAAGUCGGAUGUGAAAUCCCUGAGCUUAACUUAGGAAUUGCAUUCGAUACUGGGAAGCUAGAGUAUGGGAGAGGAUGGUAGAAUUCCAGGUGUAGCGGUGAAAUGCGUAGAGAUCUGGAGGAAUACCGAUGGCGAAGGCAGCCAUCUGGCCUAAUACUGACGCUGAGGUACGAAAGCAUGGGGAGCAAACAGGAUUAGAUACCCCAGUAGUCCCUGUCUCUUAUAA
rnacentral:rRNA from 1 species